rnacentral:lncRNA from 1 species
GGGGGUGCGGGGGGCGUUGCUGUAGAAAGAGGGAUGGGGGAGGGAGGACAAACAAGCAGCACUGCUGAGAAAAACAUAGGCGGCCUCUAUCUCAGUGUGAGGAGACCUUGUGCUGUAGCUGCCACAAAGCAGCAUUUGACCCAAGGCUAUGUUAACAAAGAUACUGCCUUUAGAAUAGGGAGGUGCUCUACAGUGAUCAUUCGUUCAACUGACCUUUGUCAUUGGCCAGACAUAGGACAGAAUGGUUCUGCAUCUGGGGAACACCAUUUAAGUAAAAUCAGAAAAAUCUCUGGUCUUUUGUAGCAUAUGUUCCAGUGGAAAGAGGCGGACUUUAGAUACGCUAUAACCAGAGUAAGGAAGGAAAGUGCUAGAAGGUGGUAAGUGCUGUGAGGCAGGUGAUGCAGGAUGUGGGCAGUGGGUACAGGGAGGGUGGCUAUUGUGCUGGGUGGUCAGUGUGUGCUUUGUUGCAAAGGUGACCUCUGAGGAAGGAUUUGAGGGACGUGAGGAUGUCUGGGGAAGUUAUUUCCAGACAGAGGAACCUCCAGUCCAAAUGCACUAUGGCAGGAAGGUGUCUGUGUUCCCAGAAGAGCAAGGAGGCCAGGAGGGCUGGACAGAGAGAAACUGAGUGGAGUAGAGGCCAGGUAGAGAAUUCAGGAUGUGGCUCUCGCACAAGGAACACCUGUGAAUGCCGCUCUCUGACACCUGCCCACAGACUCAUUUCCCGCUCACUUCUUGGAGCAAACUAUGGAAAACAAAUUUCUGUAAUGUACACAUUAAGUCGUAUAUCUGGUAUUGGGGGCUAGUUUUAUUGUGGGGAAGGCCACAGAAGCAGGCUGGAACCUACACAUCCAGGAACAGAAUCCACAGCCCACCCUGGAUCAGGUCCCUCCUAGAAACAACUGCCCCUGCUGCUGAGCACAGACGCCACUGCUCACACCUCUGACACCUGGUGCUGGACACUGGACCCCGAGGCCAGGACAGAUGUCACUGCUGCACCUGGAAACUGGACAUCACUACUGUCACUCAGCCAUCUUUACUAAAAUGUGUUCUGCACAGUCCCAGCCUCUCUGUCACCUCAUUCUGGCUCAGAGGCUGGCAGUGAUAUAGGAGUUAAGAAGAAAUUAUUUAGACAGGUAGUGAGGGUACGGAAGGCUUUUAAUGAAAAGCAGGCUCCAAACUAUUUUCUUUUCUAACAAGGAGCAGCCUGUAAUAUCAAGCUUCAGACACAGACAAGUAAGCUGGAAGCUUGCACGGGUGAAUGCUGGCAGCUGUGCGAAUAGCAAUCGGACACCUGGGACCGGGCAUGUUCACAAUGGCGACUCCAUCUUCCCUUCUGUUUGCCAGGCUCCUUCCUUACAGUAAGGAGCAGACAACAUGGCCAAGUGGCAAGCCCAUUUGCAUAAUAGGAUGAGGGUGGGGUGAACAGCCUUCCACACACACUGUGUAAAUAUCACACCUGGUCCAACCAACCUGUGGCCCCUACAUAAAUCACACACCAUCUCCUCAAACCUGCCUGUAAAAUCCGAUGCACUCCCAUUCCAUGCCGGAAUUCCCUUUUGGGUGCCCCUCUGUCUCACAAGAAAAGAGCUGUUCCCCUUUGUCUUUCUUUUGCCUAUUCAACUCUUUGCUCCUAAACUCAUUCCUCAUAUGUCAGUGUCCUUCAUCUUCUUGGCAUGAGAUGACAAACCCUUAGUAUUUACCUGAGAAAAUGACACCUCUUCAGCAGGUGGUCAUUGGACUGGUGGAGCUUAAGACUCAUGUCCAUGAUCAACUGCAGGGUGACUGGAAUGUUGUCCUCUUCCAGGGAGGGAGGUGGUUUCUGUCUCCUCUCAACAUUUUACAUGUUGUAAACCAAAAAUAAACAUCAAAGCCACCCACUCCUAACCAUCUUAAUGAACACCCUCAGCCAGGGUGCUCAAAACUUAACCUGAAAGACUGGCUCAAGCCACCAUGAUUAUGCUCUCUUCCCUUUUGGAGUUCAGGAAAAGCUGACCUGCAUUUACCAUCAACACAGACCUUAAAUCUGAUGAGAAACAUUUACAAUCUAUUCUCUCUGAAGCCUGGCACCUGGAGGCGUCAUCUGCAUGAGAAAAUUUUGGACUCUACAACCUCUUAUCAUAACCCAGACAUUUCCUUUCUAUUGAUAUUAACUCAACCAAUUGCCAAUCAGAAAAAUUAAAAAUCUACUUAUAACCCAGAAGCACUACCCCACAACCCUUGCCUGCUUCAAAUUGUUCCAACUUUCUGAACUGAGCCAAUGUAUAGCUUAAAUGUAUUUCAUUGAUGUCGCAUAUCUUUCUAAAAUGUAUAAAACCAACCUGUGCCACAACCACCUUGAGCACAUGUUCUCAGGGUCUCCUGAGGACUGUGUCGUAGGCUGUGGUCACUCAUUUUUGGCUCAGAAUAAAUCUCUUCAAAUAUGUUACCGAGUUUGACUCUUUUCAUUGACAGUGUGGAAUUCUGAUGUAAUAAGAGGGUUCAAGUGCUGGAGUGUGAGGGGUGGGAAAAAGUGACAAAUUUUAAUUCUUGGAGCAGUGAUCCAGGACGAGAACUUUAUCUGGUACCUGGCAGGCAUGCAGAGUGUCUGAAUGAACCAGUGAUUAAUAAAUAACAUGUUUCCACCCAUUCUGUUGAGGGUAGGUUAUUGCAUCAAGCUUUGGUCUAUCCCAGUUCAUACUCUAGAUUAUUGGAGUGGCAUUGUGUGAUAGUGAAAUGAUUACUCAAACAGCUUCCCUUGACUUUGUCUCUUACUAGGAUUAAAACACCCAAGAUUGUAAGAUCUCCGAGGAUCUGGGUCCACACCGAUGUUUUAUAUUAAUAUUUAUAUUUUCUUGUGUGUGGAAAUAUUUCUGGGGAGAGAAUCUCU